rnacentral:rRNA from 1 species
AUCGAACGCUGGCGGCAGGCCUAACACAUGCAAGUCGAACGAGUGGCGGACGGGUGAGUAAUUUCUUGGAAACUGCCUGAUGUAGGGGGCUAACUACUGGAAACGUUAGCUAAUACCGCAUACCACCAUAUGUGCCCAGACGGGAUUAGCUUGUUGGUGGGGUAACGGCUCACCAAGGCGACGAUCCCUAGCUGGUCUGAGAGGGUGACCGGCCACACUGGGACUGAGACACGGUCCAGACUCCUACGGGAGGCAGCAGUGGGGAAUAUUGCACAAUGGGCGAAAGCCUGAUGCAGCCAUGCCGCGUGUAUGAAGAAGGCCUUCGGGUUGUAAAGUACUUUCAGCGGGGAGGCGGUACCCACAGAGGAAGCACCGGCUAACUCCGUGCCAGCAGCCGCGGUAAUAC